GACGGAAAGACCCCAUGGAGCUUUACUCCAGUUUGGUACUGGGAUUCGGUAAUACUCGUACAGGAUAGGUGGGAGACUAAGAAGCAUGGACGCCAGUUUUUGCAGAGCCGCUGUUGGGAUACCACCCUUGUAUGAUUGGAUUUCUAACCUGCGCCCGUGAUCCGGGUGGGGGACACUGUCAGAUGGGGAGUUUGACUGGGGCGGUCGCCUCCCAAAGAGUAACGGAGGCGUUCGAAGGUUCCCUCAGAAUGGUUGGAAAUCAUUUGCAGAGUGUAAAGGCACAAGGGAGCUUGACUGUGAGACUUACAAGUCGAGCAGGUACGAAAGUAGGACUUAGUGAUCCGGUGGUAUAAAGUGGGAUUGCCAUCGCUCAACGGAUAAAAGCUACCCUGGGGAUAACAGGCUUAUCACUCCCAAGAGUUCACAUCGACGGAGUGGUUUGGCACCUCGAUGUCGGCUCAUCGCAUCCUGGGGCUGUAGCAGGUCCCAAGGGUUGGGCUGUUCGCCCAUUAAAGCGGUACGCGAGCUGGGUUCAGAACGUCGUGAGACAGUUCGGUCCCUAUCCGGCG
rnacentral:rRNA from 1 species